ensembl:lncRNA
ACAUGUGUCAGCAGUUUAAAAAGCAGAAGUAAGGCAGAGGAGGGUGUGUUAGCUUCCUCGUCUCUGUCUGUGUGUGUGUAUGUGUGUGUGUGAGCGGGUGCGUGCGUGUGUGAGCGGGUGCGUGUGUGGGUAUACGCAGUUGCGAGUAAACGCAUAUUUAGUUGGGGGGAGGUGCACGAGUAUAGAAUGCCUAGAACAAAGGAUUUUGCCUUAAGGACAAAUCCGAGCUGGGCCUUAAUUCAAAUACUAAAAUCUUCAACAACACUGAGAUUGCAAUGUGUGCGUGUAUAUGUUCGUGUGGUGAUGCAAAAGCGAGUUAGAGAGAGAGAGAAAGAGAUAGAGAGAUAGUGCAUGCACAAACCUAUCUAAUUAACUAGCAAAAGAACUAAGCAAGAUUAUCAACGGUCAAAGACCGGGUAGAUUGUGAAAUUACAGUUUGCAUUUAGAUCUUAACGAAAUCAAAUAACAAAACUUAUCACACAGAUUAAAACAUACAUGUAAAACUAAAUUCUGCCCAGAUAUCAGCCUUACUUCGAUCGCUCUUGCGUGACGACCAAGAUGUUUUUUUGCGGGUUUCCUUGGAGCAGCGUGGAACGCAGGCGUCGGAAAAUUGCAGGGUUUCUUCCUUCUUUAAAGCAGUUCGUCAACUGGACUCUGGUGCGGCCUGGUGGAGGUCGUGGUGAGUCUUGAAGGGGAUGAAGAAUUAUUUUCGUCGACUUGAAUAACAGUGAGGAGGGAUCCGGUCGCCUUCUCCUAUUCAAUUAAACUGCGGGGCUGC